AUCACUGGUGUUCGGGUUGUCAUGCCAAUGGCAUUGCCCGGUAGCUAAAUUCGGAAGAGAUAACCGCUGAAAGCAUCUAAGCGGGAAACUUGCCUCGAGAUGAGUCUUCCCUGGGGCUUCAAGCCCCUGAAGGAACGUUAAAGACGAUGACGUUGAUAGGCUGGGUGUGUAAGUGCAGCGAUGCAUUGAGCUAACCAGUACUAAUGAUCCGUGAGGCUUAACCUUACAACACCAAAGGUGUUUUG
rnacentral:rRNA from 1 species